AACGUAGGAGGCGAGCGUUAUCCGGAUUUACUGGGUGUAAAGCGCGUGCAGGCGGUUGGCUGAGUUGGGUGUGAAAGCUCCUGGCUCAACUGGGAGAGGUCGCUCAAGACUGGCCGACUGGAGAGCAGUAAGGGAAGGUGGAAUUCCGAGUGUAGAGGUGAAAUUCGUAGAUAUUCGGAAGAACACCAGUGGCGAAGGCGACUUACUGGACACAUAUUGACGCUGAGGUGCGAAAGCGUGGGGAGCAAACAGG
rnacentral:rRNA from 1 species